rnacentral:rRNA from 1 species
UACAGAGGUCCCAAGCGUUGUUCGGAUUCAUUGGGCGUAAAGGGUGCGUAGGCGGCGCGGUAAGUCGGGUGUGAAAUCUCGGAGCUUAACUCCGAAACUGCAUUCGAUACUGCCGUGCUUGAGGACUGGAGAGGAGACUGGAAUUUACGGUGUAGCGGUGAAAUGCGUAGAUAUCGUAAGGAAGACCAGUGGCGAAGGCGGGUCUCUGGACAGUUCCUGGCACUGAGACACGAAGGCCAGGGGAGCAAACGGG